rnacentral:rRNA from 1 species
AUGUACAUUCCUACAACAUGAUGGUAAUGCACCGAAUCCCAUUAGAAAUUCAUAGUUAAGCAUGCUCGUGCUAGAGCAGUAAUGGGAUGGGUGACGACACAGGAAUUCCUAGUGUUUUACAUG